rnacentral:rRNA from 1 species
UCCGUAGGUGAACCUGCGGAAGGAUCAUUAGUGAAUAUAGCGCAUCUCUUUUGAGAGCGUGACCUCCACUUCUAACUCUGUGCACUAUUUGGCGGAUUUGAAAAGACUUCGUGUCUGGAAGAAUCCGCGGCUCAUUUUUAAACACUAGUUAAAGUAUGUAACGAAAUAUCGAAACAAAAAAAAACUUUCAACAACGGAUCUCUUGGCUCUCGCAUCGAUGAAGAACGCAGCGAAAUGUGAUAAGUAAUGUGAAUUGCAGAAUUCAGUGAAUCAUCGAAUCUUUGAACGCACCUUGCGCUCCCUGGUAUUCCGGGGAGCAUGUCUGUUUGAGUGUCAUGAACUCUUCAACCCACCAGUUUCUUGUAGAUUGGAUGGUGUUUGGAUUUUGAACGCUGCUGGUCCUCGGAUCUUAGCUCGUUCGUAAUAUAUUAGCAACUCUAAUUCGAACUCGGAUUGACUCAGUGUAAUAGACUAUUCGCUGAGGACACUUGCCUUGUGCUUGUGGCCGGAUGAGAUAAAUGUAGAAGCUUCAAACUACUUUAAAGUCAACUUUAGAUUAGACCUCAGAUCAGACAGGAUUACCCGCUGAACUUAAGCAUAUCAAUAAGCGGAGGAAAAG